GGUAUCUAAUCCUGUUUGCUCCCCACGCUUUCGCACCUGANCGUCAGUCUUUGUCCAGGGGGCCGCCUUCGCCACCGGUAUUCCUCCAGAUCUCUACGCAUUUCACCGCUACACCUGGAAUUCUACCCCCCUCUACAAGACUCUAGCUGGACAGUUUUAAAUGCAAUUCCCAGGUUGAGCCCGGGGCUUUCACAUCUAACUUAUCCAACCGCCUGCGUGCGCUUUACGCCCAGUAAUUCCGAUUAACGCUUGCACCCUCCGUAUUACCGCGGCUGCUGGCACGGAGUUAGCCGGUGCUUNUUCUGCGAGUAACGUCACAGANGGCAGNUAUUAGCUACCNACCUUUCCUCCUCGCUGAAAGUGCUUUACAACCCGAAGGCCUUUUUCACACACGCGGGAUGGCUGCAUCAGGGUUUCCCCCAUUGUGCAAUAUUCCCCACUGNUGCCUCCCGUAGGAGUCUGGACCGUGUUUNAUUUACAGUGUGGCUGAUCAUCCUCUCAGACCAGCUAGGGAUCGUUGCCUUGGUGAGCCAUUACCUCACCAACUAGCUUAUCCCACCUGGG
rnacentral:rRNA from 1 species